rnacentral:rRNA from 1 species
GUCUUCGGCCACGCCACCCUGAACACGCCAGAGCCCAUCUGAUCUCAGACACUAAGCAGGGUCGGGCCUGGUUAGCAUGUGGAUGGGAGACCAGGUGCUAUUGCUG